CAGUCGCCGCGGUAAUACGAAGGGGGCUAGCGUUGUUCGGAAUUACUGGGCGUAAAGCGCACGUAGGCGGAUAUUUAAGUCAGGGGUGAAAUCCCAGAGCUCAACUCUGGAACUGCCUUUGAUACUGGGUAUCUUGAGUAUGGAAGAGGUGAGUGGAAUUCCGAGUGUAGAGGUGAAAUUCGUAGAUAUUCGGAGGAACACCAGUGGCGAAGGCGGCUCACUGGUCCAUUACUGACGCUGAGGUGCGAAAGCGUGGGAGCAAACAGGAUUAGAGACCCCAGUAGUCCCUGUCUCUUAUACA
rnacentral:rRNA from 1 species